rnacentral:rRNA from 1 species
CUUUCGGUAAAGAGCGGCGACGGGUGAGUAACGCGUGGGUAACCUGCCCUGUACACACGGAUAACAUACCGAAAGGUAUGCUAAUACGAGAUAAAAUACUUUUAUCGCAUGGUAGAAGUAUCAAAGCUUUUGCGGUACAGGAUGGACCCGCGUCUGAUUAGCUAGUUGGUAAGGUAACGGCUUACCAAGGCGACGAUCAGUAGCCGACCUGAGAGGGUGAUCGGCCACAUUGGAACUGAGACACGGUCCAAACUCCUACGGGAGGCAGCAG